AGAAUUGAUCUUGGUCAGGAUGAACGCUAGCGGCAGGCUUAACACAUGCAAGUCGAGGGGCAUCGGGAGUAGCAAUACUUGCCGGCGACCGGCGCAAGGGUGCGUAACGCGUGAGCAACAUGCCCGUAUCAGGGGGGAUAAUCCAUGGAAACGUGGUCUAAUACCCCAUAGUAAUUAUGUAAGGCAUCUUAUAUAAUUUAAAGCUUUGGUGGAUACGGAUUGGCUCGCGUGACAUUAGCUAGAUGGUAAGGUAACGGCUUACCAUGGCUACGAUGUCUAGGGGUUCUGAGAGGAAGGUCCCCCACACUGGAACUGAGACACGGUCCAGACUCCUACGGGAGGCAGCAGUGAGGAAUAUUGGACAAUGGAUGGAAAUCUGAUCCAGCCAUGCCGCGUGCAGGAAGACGGCCCUAUGGGUUGUAAACUGCUUUUGUAUGGGAGCAAUAAGGGCUACGUGUAGUCCGAUGAGAGUACCAUACGAAUAAGCACCGGCUAACUCCGUGCCAGCCGCCGC
rnacentral:rRNA from 1 species